CCAGCAAACAUUAAAAAAAAAAAACAAACAAACGGAAGAAAGCAAACCAUAUUCCAAGCAUCCAACCUCAUCCACAGGUGGAUGGAGAAAAUCCCAUUACAGAAGAGGCAGGGGAGGGAUGCAACACCAAUAAAGCAAAGGAGAUGAACAACACAUAAAAAAAAAAAACCCUAACUCUAAUCCUCAGAAGCAAACAUUAAAAUUGAAAUGUAACAAAAAUUAACCUAAAAAAAGCACGAACCAUAUCCAAACAGGGAUCCCAAAAGUGCUAUAGUUAAACUUGCAUAUAGAAGGCAAAUCUAGAGACAUCUGGUGUCAUUUUUCUCUGUGGAUUGUGCUUGAAAGUGUUUAGUUCCAAACUGAAGAUGCUAGUAUCAAGUGUCUUUUUAAUCAACCUUAAAAUCAAUCACAACAAAAGGAAUUACGUCCAAGACCUUAACAACAAAUGCAAAUCAAUCUUGAUUAGGAGAAAACCACAGACCGAACCCCCCAAGAAAAACAUAAGAAAUCUUCAUCUUCUUCGACGUGGCCUCCCCCCUUUUCUCUUUUCUUGCCUAGUUGUUUCAGAAAAGAAAAAAAAGAAGAUGAAGAAACUGAUUUGAUAAGCUGCAAGUUUCCAAAAACUCAGGAGACAAAAUGUGACGGAGAAGCUGCC
rnacentral:lncRNA from 1 species